rnacentral:lncRNA from 1 species
GUGUUUGAUCCCACAUCAGUUAUUCGCUUGGUAGAUCUUGGGUACUUAUAUAGGAUCAAGGAACCCCAACAAUACCUUUCGGCUAGCCAUUUUGGAUGAGGUCCUGGGUUAUUACAAAUGGUAUCGGAGCGGAUCCGGCCCAUAACCUAUGUGGACUAGAGGACACUGCAGCACGGAUCCAUUGGGGCUCACCAUGGGCCGAUCGUGGUGUUUGUGAUUUGAUUUGAAUAGAUAUGAACCCUUAGCCUGACGAGGACGUCAGGGCUUGAACGGGGGGAGUAUGUGAGGACCCGU